rnacentral:rRNA from 1 species
CCUACGGGACGCAGCAGUAGGGAAUAUUGCUCAAUGGGGGAAACCCUGAAGCAGCAACGCCGCGUGGAGGAUGAAGGUUUUAGGAUUGUAAACUCCUUUUGUUAGAGAAGAUUAUGACGGUACCUGACGAAUAAGCCACGGCUAACUACGUGCCAGCAGCCGCGGUAAUACGUAGGUGGCAAGCGUUAUCCGGAUUUAUUGGGUUUAAAGGGUGCGUAGGCGGACUGGAAAGUCAGCGGUAAAAUCGAGAGGCUCAACCUCUUUCCGCCGUUGAAACUGUCGGUCUUGAGUGGGCGAGAAGUAUG